rnacentral:tRNA from 1 species
GCCCCGGUAGCUCAGCGGGUAGAGCGCCGGCCUUGUAAGCCGGAGGACCCGGGUUCGAAGCCCGGCCGGGGCUCCA